AACAAUUGCCAGAGAAAUACCCACCUUUACACAGGAUGAGCUUGCUGCAUGGGUCAGAAGGGCUAAGUAUGCAGGCCUUUCUCUUCCUCUGUUUGCUGCAAAGAGAGCUGGUAGCCACUAGAGGGGAGGAGACUGCCGGCUUUCCUGAGUGCUUCACGCUACAGCUUGAAGGUGCAGAAGCUGUCACAAGACUGGUUGCCCAACGAAAUGGUUUUUAAAAUUUUAUGAAGCCUGUCUCCAGUAAACAAAAUGCACUUAACCU
rnacentral:lncRNA from 1 species